ACAAGCCAAGAGAAUGUGCAUCCAGAGAACAACGGGGAGAUGCUGCCGAAAUCACGUCUCGGACCGGACUAGAGCACGGAAACGAACCCAAUCUACACACCCUCGGGCUGUCCAAAAAACGUGGACAAUUCGAAAGAGUUACGCUUAUAGAUAUGCAAAGACUUGCAUAUCUAUAUACGUAACCCUUUCGGACAGGAGACGCAUAGGGUUACGCGACUUUGGCAUUUAAACUACAAGUGUCAUCGGCUAGAUGGUCGGGACAGAGUAAAAGGGGAAGGCGAGAUAGAGGGAGAUGCUCACCAAGCUAAACCGGAGGCGAAGUAGUCGAGGUCGAUGUCACCAAUAAAUUAGUGCCUCUCCUACAUGAGCAUGAACAUUUUAUAAGCAUAUAGUUAUACAACAAUCAAACAAUCACCAACAUUUUUACCUAACUACAAGCUAGCAUAUCCAAAUACUCACUAUCAUAACCUAGUACAAAGUAAGCUACUAUAUGCAUACAAAUUAAGCUACUAUAUGCAUAUAAAUUAAGCUAGUAUAUGCAUACAAAUUAAGAUACUAUAAUUAAGCUAACUACAAGCUAGCAUACAAAUUAAGCUACUAUAAUUCAGCUAACUACAAGCUAGCAUAUAAUUAUACAUUUGAUAUGCAAAAAAAAGAAAAAAAAUGCUCACCAGAGGGGGGAAGGUGGCUGGCAGGGGG
rnacentral:lncRNA from 1 species